rnacentral:rRNA from 1 species
GAUGAACGCUGGCGGCGUGCCUAAUACAUGCCAGUCGAGCGAACAGACGAGGAGCUUGCUCCUCUGACGUUAGCGGCGGACGGGUGAGUAACACGUGGAUAACCUACCUAUAAGACUGGGAUAACUUCGGGAAACCGGAGCUAAUACCGGAUAAUAUAUUGAACCGCAUGGUUCAAUAGUGAAAGACGGUUUUGCUGUCACUUAUAGAUGGAUCCGCGCCGCAUUAGCUAGUUGGUAAGGUAACGGCUUACCAAGGCAACGAUGCGUAGCCGACCUGAGAGGGUGAUCGGCCACACUGGAACUGAGACACGGUCCAGACUCCUACGGGAGGCAGCAGUAGGGAAUCUUACGCAAUGGGCGAAAGCUUGACGGAGCAACGCCGCGUGAGUGAUGAAGGUCUUCGGAUCGUAAAACUCUGUUAUUAGGGGAGAACAAAUGUGUAAGUAACUAUGCACGUCUUGACGGUACCUAAUCAGAAAGCCACGGCUAACUACGUG